rnacentral:rRNA from 1 species
UACGUAGGGGGCAAGCGUUGUCCGGAAUCAUUGGGCGUAAAGCGCGUGUAGGCGGUUCGGUAAGUCUGCUGUGAAAGUCCAGGGCUCAACCCUGGGAUGCCGGUCGAUACUGCCGGACUAGAGUUCGGAAGAGGCGAGUGGAAUUCCCGGUGUAGCGGUGAAAUGCGCAGAUAUCGGGAGGAACACCUAUGGCGAAGGCAGCUCGCUGGGACGUUACUGACGCUGAGACGCGAAAGCGUGGGGAGCAAACAGGG